UUGCAGUGAGCCAGGUGGUCUUCACUAUGAUAGCCACAGAAAAGGGGAAGUCUUAAGAGGCAUCAAAGAAGAGCUCUUGCUCUGCUCGCAGAGGAAGAGGAGUCAGUCUAUUUAAUUACAGCUGGGACUUCCUCUUUUCCUCUUGGCAGACAGCCUUGUUUAAAAUCUUCCAUUUUCCAGUCCACAACUGAGUUUAUACAAAAUGAGUGGGUUCUACAAGAUGACACCUUCACUAGAAGAACACGUUUCAUGAUAAACAGAAGGUAUACAGAUGCAACGUAACUCACUGGGAGCCAACCUUCAAUGUUGACACAAGAAAAAAAAAAAAAUCCAGUUCUGGAUUCCAUCAGGUGCUUCUUAUAAGACAUGGAUUAGACAUUACUGGCAGUGUGAGCCCAACAUGUGUAUCCAUGAGAAAACAGACCUCAGUCUUGACAGUGCUUCUCUAAAGGAAGGUUUGAAGAGGAUGAAAUUUGUCCAUCUUUGAAGACUUGGUUCCCCUGCUGUGGGCUUCAGCUGCCAUUAAAAAACAGAUUCUAGUUAAAAUUGAAGCUCAAAAAGCUGUUACACUGCAGAGAAUUCAUCAUUGGGAGAAGCUGCAUUGCCGCUACUAGCGGGAGUAGAGGACUGACAGCUCCUACAGUAGAGAACUGUAUCUUUGAGCAGCAGAGCCUGAGGAUUUGCUGGAAAGUUACUCCUAUUUCUGUUGCAUCCUUAGGAUGUAACCAGGAAUCAUGUGCAAGUCUUUCAGUCUGGGAGUGUCUGCUUCUGUAGACUGGUCCUGAGAGCUGAAUAGUGCAAGGAAGGAGCAGAGUCUGUAGGGAGACAUCCCAAUCUGAGCUGCAGCGAAGUGUGAGGCAGCUUUGGAAAAUCAAUGCAAUUGAUGAAGCUUGACAUUUUAAUUGUCUUUUGUUUGCAGAACUAAAUUAGGUUAUGAAGAACAAUGAUCAGUGGCUGUGAUUAAAAGUUUGAAAUGUGCCAAGUAUCCUGAGAUUUGUACUAGAUUGUGAGUGUACAUUGUAUGUAAGUGCUAGGUUUGAAGUGGCUGUAAGCAAAUAGGGCCAAGAAAACAAGUGAGAUUGUCAAAGCCAAAUUAAAAUGCUUUUCCUCCUCGCAUUGUCCCUGAAGAGCUAUUGUGUUAGAACUUGGUUUCCAAAGUUAUCACUAAUUUGUGAACUAGCAGGAUUCUAAUUCCGCUUUAAAUGGAAUUGUCUAUCCACCUGUAAUGCUAGAGUCCCUAGUGGCACUUCUGUAAUGAUAUCUCUAUACUACAUAUGACUUGUACCAUAGCAGCAAAUAAUUUAAAUGGAAAUUACAUGAAUGUAAAAGAACAUGCAUGUGUCCUUGAACUCUUCGAGCUCUGCUAAGACCACUGUAUUUAAAAAAAAAAACCACACACACAAAAAAAACAACUCUAGCAUGAUGAAGCCUCCUAGCUGAAAGGUGCUUGGUGUUUUCCUUCUUAAAUUCACUUUCUGCCAGAAAAGAAUAUGUAAUGCCCAAGUAACCUUGAGUCCAGAUAAACAGCUAAGUGUUCCUGUAGUGCAAACCUCCCUAUGGUUUUAUUGCCCCCUUGAAACACAAUUGCUAUAGAAGUGUCUGGGAAACUGUACUAAAACUGUCCCUUUGAAUGUAUUAAUUAGAAUCUGUCAAGCAUAUUUUGACUGGAAACAGUUCGUGACACAAUGAAUACAUUUUUGGCCUUAAAAGGAUACUAAGACAGGAACAACAACAAAAAUUAGUUAAUACUUGUUGUAUAUUUUUGUUUCUAAAGUUAGAUAGCAUAAGUCUCAGCAGGGACUACUCUUGAUCUACUGACUACAAGGUCUACCUUGUCACAUGAAAUUCUCAAAAACAGCAAAGCUCUUUAUUCUGGGUUUCAGGCUUGGUUUUUUUGGGGCCUGAGUGUUUACUAUCCAGAGACUUGCAUUCAUCAACCACAUAUGAACAUGGCCUGCUGUUAAGCGAUUAAAGUUCUGAUAUUUAUGGUUCCACACUGCUGUAGGAUGAAUGAAUCAUGUAUUUACUUGGGAGAUUAGACACAAGGGACCUGUUGCACAGCAAACAACCAUGUCUGUAGGUUCUGAAGCGCUUGUGGGCUAUAAAGCACUAGCUUAAUGAUGCUGUUCCUCCCGAGUAAUGCCAAAAUGUCUUUGCUACUUAAAUGCAGCCUGUGAUGAUA